GGUUAUUUAUGGAUUCUUCUCUCAACAUUGAACCCUAACACUUUUUAGCUGCUUGAUGUUCUGCUUCCUUCACCAGCUUGUCUCUAACAACGUCUGUAAUGGUCUUAUCAGCACUAGUGAGCUGAAAACGGCGGCCUGCUGAUGCUGGAAACACCAAGACACCGAGGCAGACUACUGGCGACCUGUCCACGGUGCACCAUGCCACUUACCCUGUGGUAGUUGGGAUAGAUUCCACCCUCCUACAACCCCCAUAAGGAUAAGCGGGAGAGAAGUAAUGUAUGGUGUCAUGUUCCGUGGGAGUGUCUGGGAUUUUCCAGGGUGUGGUGUCCAGACCAUCCUCCAAGAGUUUUCAGCGCCUCACCUGCUCCUCAUCCUGCAUGCUUCACAUCGCCAGUUUGUCCUGCUACCCCUGUUUCCACCAGAUUCACCUCCUGCCAUGUUCACACUCCAGUGCUGGUCUGAACUGCUCCAACUACGACAGCCAGAUCUCAAAGCUGCGCUCCUGCCCGUCUUUAAUCGUCUGGACUAGAUAUCGUUCUUUACUGUGCUCACCCCACCGGACACUCUCAUGGACACCUCCCCCAGGACUCAAAAUCUCCAAUCUGGAAAGCUCCCCCUCCCUUGGUUCUUCGUGUUCUCCCCUGUGUUUACGCGUUUCUCGGCCCUUGACUGUCCUCGGCUCUGCGUCCCCUGUUUCAGUUUCUAACCAUGUUCUUGUUUAAG